rnacentral:ncRNA from 1 species
UACCUGGUUGAUCCUGCCAGUAGUCAUAUGCUUGUCUCAAAGAUUAAGCCAUGCAUGUCUAAGUACAUGCCGAAACAAGGCGAAACCGCGAAUGGCUCAUUAAAUCAGUUAUGGUUCCUUAGAUCGUUUCUUCCUACUUGGAUAACUGUGGCAAUUCUAGAGCUAAUACAUGCAGUGAGCCCGAAGCCCCUCGGGGCGACGGGUGCUUUUAUUAGACCAAGAUCAAUCGGGCUUCGGUCCGUUUUGUGUGGUGACUCUGGAUAACUUUGUGCUGAUCGCACGGCCA